CCGACCUUAGCUCAGUUGGUAGAGCGGAGGACUGUAGUAUUGUUACUGAAAUCCUUAGGUCGCUGGUUCGAAUCCGGCAGGUCGGA
rnacentral:tRNA from 1 species